rnacentral:lncRNA from 1 species
UCCCCCACCCCGACUCUCCCUCCAUCUUUCUUCUCUCCUGCAAAUCCCUAGACCUUUCACCUCUUCAACGAUGAUUUCCCCUCUUCUCGGUCGAAUAUCGCUUCUCGUCUGGGCUGACUGGUAAAAAACUUUCCAAAUCCCUAAUUUCUCCGUUGACUCCGUAUAUGGCUGUUCAUUUUUCUGUUCGAUUUUUUCUUUCUCUAAUGCCCGCUUUGUUUUUCCUUUCUCUUUAAAUUCCAUAGACCUUUCACCCCUUCAACGACGAUUUCCCCUCUUCUCGAUCAAAUAUUGCUUCUCGUCUGGGCUGACUGGUAAAAAUCUUUCCAAAUCCCUAAUUUCUCCGUUGAAUACGUAUAUGGUUGUUCAUUUUUCUGUUUGAUUUUUUCUUUCUUUAAUGCUCGCUUUGUUUUUCCUUUCUCUUUAAAUUCUGUGUUGCUUCUGUUGCUAUCUGUAGGCCAUUCAACUUGGGCAUUCCAAUUGUUGCUCUUAUUUUUUACGAGUGAAGUCGUCUGCUGUUCAUUGCAGUUAAGGUAAGUUCGUUUUCUAUUUCUUGUAUUAUUCGGUAUGUUAGAUGUUUUCUGGGUCUUAAAUCUAAGUGUUUAUGUGGUCUGACAUAUAUUUUAAAUAUGUAAUUUUUACAUACCUAAUAAAAUUAAAAUUAAUGCUUAAAAUAGGGAAAUGCUUUUGAUGAAAUAAAAUAAUUUAUGAUUGAAUACCUUCAAUCUUGUUUCAUAGCUGGAAAAUGUUAUGGAUUGUGUAUGUCCAAAAAGGUUUUUCUGUUCGGUUCGUUUACAUUAUACACGCUUCAAAAUUUUGAAGUGGAUUGUGUUAUGGAUUGUGUUUGGACAAUCAUUUUGAAGUGGGGAGAAGGUGAUGAGAAAAGCUACGGGUUAAAUGAUGGUGAUGUAAUUAUUGAUUAAAAUUCAAACCCCAUAACUAUUUUUUUGUCUCUAAUCCCUUUCAUUGAAGGACAAUAAAACAUGGAUGCCUAAGUUGAUAGCAACAGCUAGCUGUUCUUAACUUUGUAUGUCAAAAGCUGCAAUUAUAGUAGUAUUUACCCUUCAAAGUCAUGUUUUCUGUUGUAAUUAUAGAAUAAGGCCAUUAAAGUCAGCAAUGUUUGUUAAGAAGCAACCGAGAGUUGUUUUCCUUUUCUGCUGAUAUUGAAUGUGUUUGAAAUGCAGAGGUUGAAAUGCAAAUAUAAUGGGAAUAUUUGAUGGUUAUAUCUUCCAAUUUCUAUUUUAUGGUUUCAUAAUACUGUAUUUAUUUAUAUUACGAUUUUGUUGCUGGUCUUACAUUAUAAUAUCACAAAAGUAUUAAUUUAUCAUGAAGUAACAAGUUUUUAUUAUGUAUUAAUUUAUAAUUUCAUCAUUUUUUUGAAGGGAUUAAUUAGAUUUUUUUAAAUUAUGUAUUAAUUUAAUUUUUAAAAUUAUAAUGCAGCAAGUGUAAUUUGAC